rnacentral:rRNA from 1 species
UGGGGAAUAUUGGACAAUGGGCGAAAGCCUGAUCCAGCCAUGCCGCGUGUGUGAAGAAGGUCCUCGGAUUGUAAAGCACUUUAAGUUGGGAGGAAGGGCAUUAACCUAAUACGUUAGUGUUUUGACGUUACCGACAGAAUAAGCACCGGCUAACUCUGUGCCAGCAGCCGCGGUAAUACAGAGGGUGCAAGCGUUAAUCGGAAUUACUGGGCGUAAAGCGCGCGUAGGUGGGUUGUUAAGUUGGAUGUUAAAUCCCCUGGCUCAACCUGGGAACUGCAUUCAAAACUGACUGACUAGAGUAUGGUAGAGGGUGGUGGAAUUUCCUGUGUAGCGGUGAAAUGCGUAGAUAUAGGAAGGAACACCAGUGGCGAAGGCGACCACCUGGACUAAUACUGACACUGAGGUGCGAAAGCGUGGGGAGCAAACA